CCUACCCUAGGGACGGGGAUAACCUCGGGAAACUGAGGCUAAACCCCGAUAGGCUAUAGCCUCUGGAAUGAGCUAUAGCUGAAAUCUAUAUGGCCCUAGGAUGGGACUGCGGCCGAUCAGGUAGUUGGUGGGGUAAUGGCCCACCAAGCCUAUAACCGGUGCGGGCUCUGAGAGGAGGAGCCCGGAGAUGGGCACUGAGACAAGGGCCCAGGUCCUAUGGGGCGCAGCAGGCGCGAAACCUCCGCAAUGGGCGAAAGCCCGACGGGGUUAGUCCGAGUGGUCCCUGCUGAAGGGGCCUUUUGCCAGCUGUAAAAAGGCUGGAGAAUAAGGGGUGGGCAAGUUUGGUGUCAGCCGCCGCGGUAAUACCAGCACCCCGAGUGGUCGGGACGAUUAUUGGGCCUAAAGCAUCCGUAGCCGGCUUAGCAAGUCUUCCGUUAAAUCCAACGGCUUAACCGUUGGGCUGCGGAGGAUACUGCUAAGCUAGGGGGCGGGAGAGGCGAGGGGUAUUCCCAGGGUAGGGGUAAAAUCCGUUGAUCCUGGGAGGACCACCAGUGGCGAAGGCGCCUCGCUAGAACGCGCCCGACGGUGAGGGAUGAAAGCUGGGGGAGCGAACCGGAUUAGAUACCCGGGUAGUCCCAGCCGUAAACGAUGUAGGCUCGAUGUUGGGUUACCCAAGUGGUAGCCCAGUGUCGCAGGGAAGCCGUUAAGC
rnacentral:rRNA from 1 species